rnacentral:tRNA from 1 species
GGGGUUGUGGCUCAGUGGUAGAGUGCUUGCCUAGUGCAUAUGAGGCACUGGGUUUGAUCCUCAGCACCACA